rnacentral:rRNA from 1 species
UUGAAGAGUUUGAUCAUGGCUCAGAUUGAACGCUGGCGGCAGGCCUAACACAUGCAAGUCGAGCGGUAACAGAAAGAAAGCUUGCUUUCUUUGCUGACGAGCGGCGGACGGGUGAGUAAUGCCUAGGAAGUUGCCCAGUAGAGGGGGAUAACCAUUGGAAACGAUGGCUAAUACCGCAUACUCUCUUCGGAGCAAAGCAGGGGACCUUCGGGCCUUGCGCUAUUGGAUACGCCUAGGUGGGAUUAGCUAGUUGGUGAGGUAAUGGCUCACCAAGGCGACGAUCCCUAGCUGGUCUGAGAGGAUGAUCAGCCACACUGGAACUGAGACACGGUCCAGACUCCUACGGGAGGCAGCAGUGGGGAAUAUUGCACAAUGGGGGAAACCCUGAUGCAGCCAUGCCGCGUGUGUGAAGAAGGCCUUCGGGUUGUAAAGCACUUUCAGCAGUGAGGAAGAUGGUGUAGUUAAUAACUGCAUCAUUUGACGUUAGCUGCAGAAGAAGCACCGGCUAACUCCGUGCCAGCAGCCGCGGUAAUACGGAGGGUGCGAGCGUUAAUCGGAAUUACUGGGCGUAAAGCGCAUGCAGGUGGUGGAUUAAGUCAGAUGUGAAAGCCCGGGGCUCAACCUCGGAAGGUCAUUUGAAACUGAUUCACUAGAGUACUGUAGAGGGGGUAGAAUUUCAGGUGUAGCGGUGAAAUGCGUAGA